AAGUCGUAACAAGGUUUCCGUAGGUGAACCUGCGGAAGGAUCAUUAGAAUGAGAGCCGGACCAUGUCGUGGGCGAAAGCCCAAACAGUGCCAGUAAGCGCCCGCUAAACCUCCAACCCUUCGUCAUAUUAUUCUUUUGUUUGCUUUUGGUUGGGGCCUGGGCCAAGCCAUUCGGGCUUGGAGCACCGGCUUCGGCUGGAGAGUGCCUGCCAGAGGACCCAACUCUGUAAUUUAGUGAUGUCUGAGUACUAUUAAAUAGUUAAAAA
rnacentral:misc_RNA from 1 species